rnacentral:lncRNA from 10 species
CAGAAUUCUAAUGAACAUACUACCAACAGUGAUUUUCUCCUUGGCCCAUUAACCACACGGAAGGGAGUAUUCGCUGUGGAGUGCCUCUGUAGCUGAGGGCCCCUGGCGCGUGGUUUCAUCAGAGGCAGACAGCUGCGUUUAGUCUCUGCACGUGCGUUGGUCUCCUUUCUGCCCCUACAGUGUGGCCAAGGCCAUUCCAGCCUCAGGAGGGCAAGAGGAGGCCUGUUGGAUGCAUCCUGAAAACACAGGCCAUCACUGUGGGUGAGAUCUACCAGGACAGAUGCCAUUCUGCAAAGCAUGGCCCCGCUCCCUCCCUCAGUCUGUAGCCUCAGGAGGGGACUGCUUUGCCUGUGAGUGGGAGGGAGCUACCGUGUGAGUAGUUCCCAACAGACCAUCUGAAGUCAUUUUCCCAGGUGGCAGGAGAAACACAGAGCCAGACGUUACACUGCUUUUCAAAGAGGGUUGCCUCUGCUGCCCCAGCGAGGAUGGCGACACAAACAGCGGUGGUGUCAGCGGACAGCGGUGGUGUCAGCGGUGACCGAGGCAGGGCCGAGACUCCAGGGCCCUUCGGGUUCAAGCUGUGCCCCCUCGCGCAGUUCAGCACCUGCCAGCACUUCCAAGUGUGUGAUUGUCACGCUUGCCUGAUUACUCCUUCCUUUGGGCUCCCAUAGCAAUUUGUACAUUACUGUGGAAUUGAUCAAAUUGCUUUAUAACUAG